rnacentral:rRNA from 1 species
CGCCUACGGGGGGCAGCAGUAGGGAAUCUUCCACAAUGGGCGCAAGCCUGAUGGAGCAACACCGCGUGAGUGAAGAAGGGUUUGGGCUCGUAAAGCUUUGUUGUUGGAGAAGAACGUGCGUGAGAGUAACUGUUCACGCAGUGACGGUAUCCAACCAGAAAGACACGGCUAACUACGUGCCAGCAGCCGCGGGAAUAAGUAGGGGGGAAGCGUUAUUCGGAUUUAUUUGGCGGAAAGCGAGCGCAGGCGGGUGCUUUGGUCUGAUGUGAAAGCCUGCGG